rnacentral:rRNA from 1 species
AGCUUGUUGGUGAGGUAACGGCUCACCAAGGCGACGACGGGUAGCCGGCCUGAGAGGGCGACCGGCCACACUGGGACUGAGACACGGCCCAGACUCCUACGGGAGGCAGCAGUGGGGAAUAUUGCACAAUGGGCGAAAGCCUGAUGCAGCGACGCCGCGUGAGGGAUGACGGCCUUCGGGUUGUAAACCUCUUUCAGCAGGGAAGAAGCGAAAGUGACGGUACCUGCAGAAGAAGCGCCGGCUAACUACGUGCCAGCAGCCGCGGUAAUACGUAGGGCGCAAGCGUUGUCCGGAAUUAUUGGGCGUAAAGAGCUCGUAGGCGGCUUGUCGCGUCGAUUGUGAAAGCCCGGGGCUUAACUCCGGGUCUGCAGUCGAUACGGGCAGGCUAGAGUGUGGUAGGGGAGAUCGGAAUUCCUGGUGUAGCGGUGAAAUGCGCAGAUAUCAGGAGGAACACCGGUGGCGAAGGCGGAUCUCUGGGCCAUUACUGACGCUGAGGAGCGAAAGCGUGGGGAGCGAACAGGAUUAGAUACCCUGGUAGUCCACGCCGUAAACGGUGGGCACUAGGUGUUGGCGACAUUCCACGUCGUCGGUGCCGCAGCUAACGCAUUAAGUGCCCCGCU